ACCUGGUUGAUCCUGCCAGUAGUCAUAUGCUUGUCUCAAAGAUUAAGCCAUGCAUGUCUAAGUACAAACUUUUUAUAAAAGUGAAACCGCGAAAGGCUCAUUAAAUCAGUUAUGGUUCCUUAGAUGGUACCACAUUUACUUGGAUAACUGUGGUAAUUCUAGAGCUAAUACAUGCAAACUGAGCUCUAACCGGUGACGGAAGGAGUGCUUUUAUUAGAUCAAAACCAAUACGACGGCAUUAUUUAUUUUUAAUAAAUUAAUGUACGUCGUUUUUAUUGAUGAAUCUGAGUAACUUAUGCAGAUCGUAUGGUCUAGUACCGACGACGCAUCUUUCAAAUGUCUGACUUAUCAACUGUCGAUGGUAGGAUCUGCGCCUACCAUGGUUGUAACGGGUAACGGGGAAUCAGGGUUCGAUUCCGGAGAGGGAGCCUGAGAAACGGCUACCACAUCCAAGGAAGGCAGCAGGCACGCAAAUUACCCACUCCCAGAACGGGGAGGUAGUGACGAAAAAUAACGAUACGGGACUCAUCCGAGGCCCCGUAAUCGGAAUGAGUACACUUUAAAUCCUUUAACGAGGAUCUAUUGGAGGGCAAGUCUGGUGCCAGCAGCCGCGGUAAUUCCAGCUCCAAUAGCGUAUAUUAAAGUUGUUGCGUUUAAAAAGCUCGUAGUUGAAAUUGUGUCCCGUGCUGUCGGUACACCGCCCGCGGUGUUUAACUGGCAUGUUUCACGGGACGUCCUGCCGGUGGGUGCGUCGUACAAUUUACGUGUACUUACCAUACAACAUUGUCCAUAUGAUAAAUACAUUGUAUUUAAAAACGUUCAUUUAUAAAUAUGUUGACGGUGCACGUUAUUUAUAUAAUAUUUAAAUAAAUAUAUUAUGGUUCCCCAAUAUAUUAAAUAAAUUUACUGGUGCACGAUAUAUAUAUUAUAUAUUUAUUAUAUACAUAUAUAUAUCGUUUUGUUAUCAGUAAAAAUAUAUUGGUCAUAAUAAAUAAAAAUUUAUUUAUAAUAUAUAAUAAAUAACGUUGUUUUUAUCGCUCAUAUUUUAUGUUCGUACAUUGUUUAAAUUUAUCGGUCAAUGUAAAUUAAAAUGUUUGGAAGUCCGUAAAUUUGUUUACGCCAUCCAGACUCAUAAAUCCUGUCGCGGUGCUCUUAAUCGAGUGUCGAGGCAGGCCGGCACGUUUACUUUGAACAAAUUAGAGUGCUCAAAGCAGGCAAAAAUUAUGCCUGAAUACAUUUAUGCAUGGAAUAAUGGAAUAGGACCUCGGUUCUAUUUUGUUGGUUUUUUUGAACAAUGAGGUAAUGAUUAAUAGGGACAGAUGGGGGCAUUCGUAUUGCGACGUUAGAGGUGAAAUUCUUGGAUCGUCGCAAGACGGACUAAAGCGAAAGCAUUUGCCAAAGAUGUUUUCAUUAAUCAAGAGCGAAAGUCAGAGGUUCGAAGGCGAUCAGAUACCGCCCUAGUUCUGACCAUAAACGAUGCCAGCUAGCGAUCCGUCGAAGUUCCUCCGAUGACUCGACGGGCAGCUAUACGGGAAACCAAAGCUUUUGGGUUCCGGGGGAAGUAUGGUUGCAAAGCUGAAACUUAAAGGAAUUGACGGAAGGGCACCACCAGGAGUGGAGCCUGCGGCUUAAUUUGACUCAACACGGGAAAUCUCACCAGGCCCAGACACUGGAAGGAUUGACAGAUUGAGAGCUCUUUCUUGAUUCAGUGGGUGGUGGUGCAUGGCCGUUCUUAGUUGGUGGAGUGAUUUGUCUGGUUAAUUCCGAUAACGAACGAGACUCUAGCCUGCUAACUAGGCGUACUUAACCGGUAUCUAGAAGGCUCGUGUUCACCGCAUUAACUGGUGAUCAAUAAAUUUCUUAUAUAUACCAACACUAUGUUAAUAUGGGGUUGUUUGUGGUAACUAUAUUUUCAUUACUAGUUGAUGUUUAAUAUAGUUUUCUGCUUUCAAUCUAAUUUGUAAACAUAUUUCAUUGUUGUUUUGUGUAUAUAUAAGGGUUUGUUUUGUGAUCUGGGCGGUCUGUUCACGGUUUUUACUACCGGCGUACACAUAUAUCUUCUUAGAGGGACUGGCGGCAUCUAGCCGCACGAGAUUGAGCAAUAACAGGUCUGUGAUGCCCUUAGAUGUUCUGGGCCGCACGCGCGCUACACUGAAGGAAUCAGCGUGUAUUUCCUUGGCCGAAAGGUCCGGGUAAACCGUUGAAACUCCUUCGUGCUAGGGAUUGGGGAUUGCAAUUAUUCCCCAUGAACGAGGAAUUCCCAGUAAGCGCGAGUCAUAAGCUUGCGUUGAUUACGUCCCUGCCCUUUGUACACACCGCCCGUCGCUACUACCGAUUGAAUGAUUUAGUGAGGUCUCCGGACUGGCACCCGACGGUAUUACGAUAUCGCCGAUGUGUGCUGGGAAGUUGACCAAACUUGGUCAUUUAGAGGAAGUAA
rnacentral:rRNA from 1 species